rnacentral:lncRNA from 1 species
UUCAAAAUUUUACUUUGAUUUCUCUCCACCAAACACUGGUCUGCUCCCUAAUGAAUUUUUGAAGCCCCUAACUUACCUAGGAAAGCCUUGACAAACUCAAACACAUAUUUGAUCCAAACACCACCUCUCUGAAACAGUCAUUUAACCGCGUUCUAAGCCACCAAGUGAAAUCCUCUUUUCUCAUAAGAAUUACCCCACAAGAAAAUAAAUUG